GAUGAAGAACGCAGCGAAAUGCGAUAACUAAUGUGAAUUGCAGAAUUCCGUGAAUCAUCGAGUCUUUGAACGCACAUUGCGCCCCCUGGUAUUCCGGGGGGCAUGCCUGUCCGAGCGUCAUUGCUGCCCAUCAAGCACGGCUUGUGUGUUGGGUCCCGUCCCCCUCUCCCGGGGGACGGACCCGAAUGGCAGCGGCGGCACCGCGUCCGGUCCUCGAGCGUAUGGGGCUUUGUCACCCGCUCUUGUAGGCCCGGCCGGCGCUUGCCGACACCCAACCAUUUUUUUCAGGUUGACCUCGGAUCAGGUAGGGAUACCCGCUGAACUUAAGCAUAUCAAUAAGCGGAGGA
rnacentral:misc_RNA from 1 species